ACGAACGCUGGCGGCGCGCCUAACACAUGCAAGUCGCACGAGCGAGAGAGAGCUUGCUUUCUCGAGCGAGUGGCGAACGGGUGAGUAACGCGUGAGGAACCUGCCUCAAAGAGGGGGACAACAGUUGGAAACGACUGCUAAUACCGCAUAAGCCCACGGGUCGGCAUCGACCAGAGGGAAAAGGAGCAAUCCGCUUUGAGAUGGCCUCGCGUCCGAUUAGCUAGUUGGUGAGGUAACGGCCCACCAAGGCAACGAUCGGUAGCCGGACUGAGAGGUUGAACGGCCACAUUGGGACUGAGACACGGCCCAGACUCCUACGGGAGGCAGCAGUGGGGAAUAUUGCACAAUGGGGGAAACCCUGAUGCAGCGACGCCGCGUGGAGGAAGAAGGUCUUCGGAUUGUAAACUCCUGUUGUUGGGGAAGAUAAUGACGGUACCCAACAAGGAAGUGACGGCUAACUACGUG
rnacentral:rRNA from 1 species